CGACCCCCAGUCAGCGGAUCCAAGGUAU
rnacentral:rRNA from 1 species